rnacentral:rRNA from 1 species
CAUAUCAAUAAGCGGAGGAAAAGAAACUAACAAGGAUUCCCCUAGUAACUGCGAGUGAAGCGGGAAAAGCUCAAAUUUAAAAUCUGGCAGCCUUUGGUUGUCCGAGUUGUAAUCUAGAGAAGUGUUAUCCGCGUUGGACCGUGUACAAGUCUCCUGGAAUGGAGCGUCAUAGAGGGUGAGAAUCCCGUCUUUGACACGGACUGCCAAGGCUUUGUGAUGCGCUCUCAAAGAGUCGAGUUGUUUGGGAAUGCAGCUCAAAAUGGGUGGUAAAUUCCAUCUAAAGCUAAAUAUUGGCGAGAGACCGAUAGCGAACAAGUACCGUGAGGGAAAGAUGAAAAGAACUUUGGAAAGAGAGUUAAACAGUACGUGAAAUUGCUGAAAGGGAAACGCUUGAAGUCAGUCGCGUUGUCCAGGGAUCAACCUUGCUUUUGCUUGGUGCACUUUCUGGUUGACGGGUCAGCAUCAAUUUUGACUAUUGGAAAAAGAUUAGGGGAAUGUGGCAUCUUCGGAUGUGUUAUAGCCCUUAGUUGCAUACAAUGGUUGGGAUUGAGGAACUCAGCACGCCGCAAGGCCGGGUUUUUAACCACGUACGUGCUUAGGAUGCUGGCAUAAUGGCUUUAAUCGACCCGUCUUGAAACACGGACCAAGGAGUCUAACAUGCCUGCGAGUGUUUGGGUGGAAAACUCGAGCGCGUAAUGAAAGUGAAAGUUGAGAUCCCUGUCGUGGGGAGCAUCGACGCCCGGACCAGACCUUUUGUGACGGUUCCGCGGUAGAGCAUGUAUGUUGGGACCCGAAAGAUGGUGAACUAUGCCUGAAUAGGGUGAAGCCAGAGGAAACUCUGGUGGAGGCUCGUAGCGAUUCUGACGUGCAAAUCGAUCGUCAAAUUUGGGUAUAGGGGCGAAAGACUAAUUCGAA